CCACCAAGAGACAACGUGCGCUCCGACUGCCACCCCCUGCUCCACGACAUGCUGGAGUCCAGUGCAAGGGCCUGGGCGCGCCGAGGUCCCGGGGCCGGGUCUCGCCAGUCGCUUUGCGAGGUGGGCAGCUGCAGUGGCUGCUGGCCUGCGCCCGGCGGAUGGGGUGGGGACGCCUGCAGAGAAGGGAGCAGGGAGCACAGCCCGCGGAAAGUUAGCCGUGUGUCAGCAUGCCACACCCUUGGCACCCGCUUGGAAAGGGGCUGCGCGCCACCUGGGAGGGCGGUGGAUGUCCGUGAUGGGCCUGAGCAGGCCGCCUGGGGAAGGGAGUUGUGCCUCCGCCGGUAUUUCCCUCCUCAAGGAGAGACCCAGGGGUGGCGGCAGCCGCUGAAACGUGAGACCCAGCUGGGGACCACGGAGAGGAAGAGGCUGCAGUAGCUGAGGUGCACACCUCAGCCACCUGGUGCUGGAGAGGAGGUGCUGCUGCACUGCAGAGGGACCGCGGUCCCCAGCGCCACACGUGGGGCUUCAGCCAACUAGAUUCGGUCGCCGGAGACGGACCGGGUGACCCUGAGGCGCGCGCAUCUGGUGCAUGACUGGAGAGGGUGCGACCCGGAACUUGUGGGCCUGGGGACUGCGCCAUGGAGAAGGGUUUUUCAAGGCAGAUAUUGAGGCCCUUUUUGCGCUGCCCGGGUCUGGCCGCUGGCAGGACCAGACACAACACAUGGGACAUCUGAAAGUUACAGUUGUGGAAAAAGUCUCAUGAAAUCUGUAUCUGCUGGAAUCACAGCGUUGAUUGUUUUUCUUCUUGCUGCCUGAAAUAUUCUCCUAUGAAGUCAUCACUGAAAUAGACGUGUUACCACUGAAAUGAGAUUAACAAUUAAAAAUAAAUGAGCUGCUGGUUGUUGUAUUCUCUAGGAACCA